UUGUAUAACCAUCUAACUACCCUAAAAGCAUCAGUUACCACCUGAUCUUGGAAGCUAAGCAUAGUCAGCUCUGAUUAUUAGUUGGAUAGGAAACUACAAGGAAAUACCAGGUGCUGUGGGCU
rnacentral:rRNA from 11 species